rnacentral:tRNA from 1 species
GGGGUCAUAGUUCUAAUGGAAGAACAACAGUUUUGCAAAUUGAAGGUUAGGGGUUCGAGUCCCCUUGGCUCCACCA